CCAGCAAGAAAGGUCACGAAAUGGGGCAAAAUUUGGACUCAGUUGUGGCCAUAAGUCGAGGACAACCUGUACUACUUCUUUAAAUCUAGAAGUUUUCUUUCCCUGUUGUGAAACUGACCAGAAGAGAUAAAGCUGGAACUUGCUAGAAGUUUGUAAAAUGAAUACAGAAUGAACAUUCACAAAUGAAAUUCCCUAGUAAAUGGGAAUUUAUAGGGGUACUUAAGUGGGCUUGACAGAAUAACUUAUUCUGGGUAGCUGGAAGUUGCAUAUUCUAUACCAUCUCUAAUCAAUCUCAAAAUAUUUUAUAAGAAAACCCAAUUUAACUAAUUUCAUAACCAAUUCUACCAUGCUGUUAGAAUUUUCAUACCAGAACAGUACCCGGUGCUCUGGGCAGGUUCUGGUACGCCUAUACUGGGGCAUACCGCCUGCAACCUACCACUGAAGAGGGAAUUCUGAUUUGACCAACAUCUUCUGCCACAUGUGGAAUUCUUGACAUAUAGUAAUGUUUAUAGACAAACUGUUUUAGUUAUAUGUGAUUAUUACAUACAGAUUUGGAGUUGAGAUAGUUUCUAUGGCCCUCUCUUAUAUAUUUCUCCAGAGAGUUAGAGAGUUGGGGGACAACCCUUUAACAACCUUUUUACUUCACAGAUAUUUUUCAAGUAUUGCUUUGCUUUUGUGGUGUUAUUUUUCAAAUAAAUGCUUAUAAUUCUUCUUCCGUGUCUAUUUAAAUUAGGCUGGUGGGGCUUAAAUAUAUUCCACAUUACAAAUUUUAGAUUAAAAUUAUUCUGUUACAUUUCAUUGGCACAAACCUGAGUUAAACAGGUGCAGUAUAAAAUCGAGUUGGGGCCAUUUUAUACAUGUAUUUGAGAGAGAAUGCAUUAUGUGAAGAGGCUUAUUUUUUUGUUUAAAAAUCUGGCAAUGCUUAAAAGGAUUUCAGAGAGAAGAGGGAUAUGAUAUCACUAGUUUGGCAUUUGGUUAAUGAAUGUUGUAGUCAUAUUUCUUACAGAUGAAAAUAAAAAUGGUAUGUCUAUUUGGAAAAAAUAUAAGCGAAGUUACAAAAUAUAAUUUCUGAACAGGGUUCUAUGUUUUAAAACUCAACAAUUAAACUUGCUUAAUUUGUUUUACAUCAAAUACAUUUGGGGAACAGGGCAUAUUCCUAUUCAAGCAAUGGUCAGCUUCUUUAGCUAUAUAAUAAUUAUUCUCAUGAAAAACCUGACAUUUUGGCCAGACCUGUUAGUCAGGUGACAAUACAGGUCUAGCUCUAUGUCUAGAAAUUGCUCAUCUAAGAAGUUGCUGACAUGGAAGUGGUAUUGGAGGAAGAGAUCAAUAAUGAGUGUGCCCCAUUUUCAAACACUGUUGCACAGAGGUAAUAGAACUAUUCAGUGAAUCCAAUCCUCUCCCUAUAAUUGGUAGAUCGAUAAGUAACCCGUGGAAGACCAUGAAGCUGGACAAGAGUAGGCAAAAUGGCAUUCCAUCAACCAAAGCAAUAAAAAAUGAAACAUUCUUGGUGUCUCUUACAUCAAUUCAUCACCUGGGAUUCUUUUGAAAACCAGGAAGCCUUCUGGAGUCCAUGGGCAUAGGGACUGCGUAGGCAUGUCUUAAAACUAAAGCCAAAGUUACCUUAUUACAGUUAUAGUGUCAGAUGGCUCAGAUUCAUCAUCAGAGAUCAAGUCCAGGCUUGAUAUUGCCUGUGGAGGACUAUCUUUCUG